CUGGCGGCAGGCCUAACACAUGCAAGUCGAACGGACCCUUCGGGGUUAGUGGCGGACGGGUGAGUAACACGUGGGAACGUGCCUUUAGGUUCGGAAUAGCUCCUGGAAACGGGUGGUAAUGCCGAAUGUGCCCUUCGGGGGAAAGAUUUAUCGCCUUUAGAGCGGCCCGCGUCUGAUUAGCUAGUUGGUGAGGUAAUGGCUCACCAAGGCGACGAUCAGUAGCUGGUCUGAGAGGAUGACCAGCCACACUGGGACUGAGACACGGCCCAGACUCCUACGGGAGGCAGCAGUGGGGAAUCUUGCGCAAUGGGCGAAAGCCUGACGCAGCCAUGCCGCGUGAAUGAUGAAGGUCUUAGGAUUGUAAAAUUCUUUCACCGGGGACGAUAAUGACGGUACCCGGAGAAGAAGCCCCGGCUAACUUCGUGCCAGCAGCCGCGGUAAUACGAAGGGGGCUAGCGUUGCUCGGAAUUACUGGGCGUAAAGGGCGCGUAGGCGGAUCGUUAAGUCAGAGGUGAAAUCCCGGAGCUCAACUUCGGAACUGCCUUUGAUACUGGCGAUCUUGAGUGUGAGAGAGGUAUGUGGAACUCCGAGUGUAGAGGUGAAAUUCGUAGAUAUUCGGAAGAACACCAGUGGCGAAGGCGACAUACUGGCUCAUUACUGACG
rnacentral:rRNA from 1 species